rnacentral:rRNA from 1 species
UCAAGCUAAUAAGAGCACAGGGUGGAUGCCCAGGCACCAAACGCCGAUGAAAGACGUGGCAAGCUGCGAAAAGUCACGGGGAACCGCAAGCAGGUAUUGAUCCGUGAACGUCUGAAUGGGGAAACCCGGCGGGUUAACAGCCCGUCACUAUUAACUGAAUCAAUAGGUUAAUAGGGGGAACGCGGGGAACUGAAACAUCUCAGUACCCGUAGGAAGAGAAAAUAAAGAAUGAUUUCCUAAGUAGCGGCGAGCGAACGGGAAAGAGGCCAAACCGAAGGGCUUGCUCUUCGGGGUUGUGGAUCAGCAAAAAGGACGGAAGACCUUAGCAGAAGAGGAUUGGAAAGUCCCGCCAGAGAGGGUAAAAGCCCCUUACGCGAAAAGGUCAAACGACGAGCUGACACCAGAGUACCGCAGGACACGAGAAAUCCGGUGGGAAGCCGGGAGGACCACCUCCCAAGCCUAAAUACGAAUUGGUGACCGAUAGCGCAUAGUACCGUGAGGGAAAGGUGAAAAGAACCCCGGGAGGGGAGUGAAAAAGAACCUGAAACCCUGUGUUUACAAGCAGUGAAAGUGCGAGCAAGGCACGAUCACGUACUUUUUGUAGAACGGACCGGCGAGUUACGUUAUGCAGCAAGGUUAAGAACUAAAGGUUCGGAGCCGAAGCGAAAGCGAGUCUGAACAGGGCGAUAGUUGCAUGACGUAGACCCGAAACCGGGUGACCUAUCCAUGAGCAGGUUGAAGUGGAGGUAAAGCUCCAUGGAGGACCGAACCAGACGUCUGUUGAAAAAGGCGGGGAUGACUUGUGGAUAGGGGAGAAAUUCCAAUCGAACCCGGAGAUAGCUGGUUCUCCUCGAAAUAGCUUUAGGGCUAGCCUCAUGGAUCAUUGAUGGGGGUAGAGCACUGAAUGUGCGCGGGGGCCACAAAGCCUACCAAACGCUAUCAAACUUCGAAUACCAUACAAUGCAGACCAUGGGAGUCAGUCCGCGAGAGAUAAGUUCCGCGGGCAAAAGGGGAACACCCCAGAUCAACCGCUAAGGUCCCCAAGUUCACGUUAAGUGGAGAAGGAUGUGGAAUUGCACAGACAACCAGGAUGUUGGCUCAGAAGCAGCCACACAUUUAAAGAGUGCGUAAUAGCUCACUGGUCGAGUGAUUGUGCGCCGAAGAUGUCCGGGGCUAAACGUGACACCGAAGCGAUGGGUGCAUCUGAAAGGAUGCGCGGUAGAGGAGCAAUGUGCAGAGGCAGAAGCCGUAUCGAGAGGCACGGUGGACACUGCACAAGAGAGAAUGCCGGUAUGAGUAGCGAGAGGCAUGCGAGAAACAUGCCCGUCGAAAGCCCAAGGUUUCCUGGGGAAGGUUCAUCCGCCCAGGGUAAGUCGGGGCCUAAGCCGAGGACGGAAGUCGUAGGCGAUGGACAGCAGGUGUAGAUUCCUGCACUACCGAUGGAAUGAAGCAGUGACACAGAAGGAUAACUCGAGCAGGGUGAUGGUCAACCCUGUGCAAGCAUCAAGGUUGGGUUGUAGUGAAGUACGCAAUCCUAUAAGCUGAGGUGUGAUGCGGACCGAAAUUUCAGUAGGGAAGCGAGUGAGUUCACGCUGGCGAGAAAAGCUGCUAGUACAUCCAAAGGUACCCGUACCGGAAACCGACGCAGGUGGGCGAGGAGAGAAUCCUGAGACGAACGGGAGAACCCUUGUUAAGGAACUCGGCAAAAUGACCCCGUAACUUCGGGAUAAGGGGUGCCUGCGAGAGCAGGCCGCAGAGAAUAGUCACAAGCGACUGUUUAGCAAAAACACAGGUAUCUGCGAAAGCGAGAGCUGACGUAUAGGUGCUGACACCUGCCCGGUGCUGGAAGGUUAAGGGAACAUGUUAGAGCAAUCGAAGCAUCGAACCGAAGCCCCAGUAAACGGCGGCCGUAACUAUAACGGUCCUAAGGUAGCGAAAUUCCUUGUCGGGUAAGUUCCGACCCG